GGGUCAGUAGGUUGGUCGUGCCACCGGUACGUACUGGGCUCACUGAUUCCUCCUUCCUGAAGAACCGUAAUGCCAUUAAUUUGGUGUUGCGGGGAAACAGGACUGUUACUUUGGAAAAAUUAGAGUGUUUAAAGCAAGCUAACGCUUGAAUACAUUAGCAUGGAAUAAUGAAAUAGGACGAUCGAUCCUAUUUUGUUGGUUUCUAGGAUUGACGUA
rnacentral:rRNA from 1 species